rnacentral:rRNA from 1 species
UGUAGGUACUGGAACAGCGAAAACGGCUGGCAAUACCAGGUGCUGUAGGCGUUUUC